rnacentral:sRNA from 1 species
CUUCCUCGAUCUGCUGCGGGCAGAUGAAAUGAAUAUGGCUGUCCAUGCCGCCAGCGGUGAUGAUCUUGCCUUCGCCCGCGAUGACCUCCGUGCCCGGCCCAACGAUGAUGUCCACGCCUGACUGCAUAUCCGGGUUGCCGGCCUUGCCGAUCGCAGCAAUACGGCCCUCCUUCAAGCCGAUAUCGGCCUUCACGAUCCCCCAAUGGUCAAGGAUCAGCGCAUUGGUAAUGACGGUAUCGACAGCUCCGUUCGCCCGCGUCACCUGACUUUGCCCCAUGCCGUCGCGAAUG